rnacentral:lncRNA from 8 species
CUGAAAUGCUAGCACCUGGUUGCACUUUCCAGGUGACAAUUGAAGAUGGCUGCCAAUGAAGUAGCAGGCCUCUCUGCUCAGGUAGAACGGCCAACACAACACCUACAGUACACACACACACACACCUGAAUACCUGUUAAGCUAUUUAGUGUUCGUGAUAGUAAACGUUAACACAGAUGGCUUCUAGAUGUGGGCAGGGACAGGCAGCAGGAUCCCAGCCCCAGAGAAGACGACAGGAGUGCUCAGACCUCCAGGACACAUACCUACUCCAUUGGGAGCCUAGCCCUCCUCUCAGUAACCUGUCUCUCCAUGCCUCCUGGUGGUCCGGCAGGGACGAGCACAGAGAGACUGGGCCCUCCCUUGGCAUAGCACCCUGCAUCCCACUGCUGGCUUCCAUAGCACCCUGCAUCCCACUGCUGGCUUCCAUAGCACCCUGCAUCCCACUGCUGACUUCCAUAGCACCCUGCAUCCCACUGCUGGCUUCCAUAGCACCCUGCAUCCCACUGCUGGCUUCCAUAGCACCCUGCAUCCCACUGCUGACUUCCAUAGCACCCUGCAUCCCACUGCUGGCUUCCAUAGCACCCUGCAUCCCACUGCUGGCUUCCAUAGCACCCUGCAUCCCACUGCUGGCUUCCAUGGCACCCUGCAUCCCACUGCUGGCUUCCAUGGCACCCUGCAUCCCACUGCUGGCUUCCAUGGCACCCUGCAUCCCACUGCUGGCUUCCUUCUGAAGCUAAGCAGGGUUGGUCCUGGUUGGUCCCUGGAUGGGAGACCAGAUGCUGCUGAAGUGGUGUUGGAGGACCAAUAGCACCCACUCUUUCCUCUGGUCUAAAAAAUAUCCCAAUGCCCCAGGGCAGUGAUUGAGGACAUUGCCCUGUGCUGUCUUUCAGAUGGGACGUAUGUACCUCGGCCUAAACAUCAGCGCCACAGGUAACUUCCACAAAGCUGUGAACGAUCUGAGAGACAAGGCAAGAAGAUCCCGUGGGACUUAUCGUAAGAGUAGGGGGUGUGCACCCUGGUUUCCUGGCUAAAUACCCAAUCUGGCCCUCAUACCAUCAUGGACCCCUAAUUUACAUUUACAUUUAAGUCAUUUAGCAGACGCUCUUAUCCAGAGCGACUUACAAAUUGGUGCAUUCACCUUAUAAUAUCCAGUG